AGCCCCGUUCCUAAAUCGUCCGUCAUAGGUCCAAAAGUGAAUACGGACGAAGAUUCCUCCCAGACCAAAGGUGCCCACCCAGAAAGUUCUUGCUGUGCACGUAGUGCCCAGAGUGCUGCACCAAUGGCAGAAUGCCCAAAAGUGAAUACGGACCAAGAUUCCUCCCAGACCGAAGAUGUCCACCCAG